rnacentral:rRNA from 1 species
CCAAAGGUGUUGGUGUGGAAUGUGCGUGGACUUAACUCGCCGGCGCGGAGGAGUGCCAUCUUCCAUGUAGUUGUGUCGGCUAACCCUAGCAUUGUGUGCUUCCAAGAAACAAAAGUGGAGAAUGUAUCUCUAGACCUCAUCAGGCAAUGCCUUGGCAAUAAAUUUGAGCAUUACUACUACUUACCAGCGGUGGGCACACGGGGAGGCAUCCUCAUUGCGUGGGAUCAUACGGCUGUCACGUUGUCAAACCCGCACACUACUACUAAUACCCUGACAGCCUUGGUGCAGCCGCACGGGGCCCCGGUGUGGUGGCUCACAGGGGUAUUGUUGGGGAACGUAGUAAUUUCAAAAAUUUCCUACGCACACGCAAGAUCAUGGUGA